rnacentral:rRNA from 1 species
UACGAAGGGGGCUAGCGUUGUUCGGAAUUACUGGGCGUAAAGCGCGCGCAGGUGGUCCUUCAAGUCAGGGGUGAAAGCCCAGGGCUCACCCCUGGAAUGGCCUUUGAGACUAGAGGACUUGGGUACGGGAGAGGUGAGUGGAAUUCCGAGUGUAGAGGUGAAAUUCGUAGAUAUUGGGAAGAACACCGGUGGCGAAGGCGGCCAUCUGGCCCGUAUUUGACGCUGAGGCGCGAAAGCGUGGGGAGCAAACAGG